CCCCAUGUAAUCUUAUUCGUUAUAAUCUAGGAUCAGACCCCCCCCCCCCAUGUGAUCUUAUUGGUUCUGAUCUGAAAGGCUAAACUGAUCCUACAGUAGAUCAGCAGGUCGAAACUGAUCCUACAGUAGAUCAGCAGGUCUAAACUGAUCCUACAGCAGAUCGGCAGGUCUAAACUGAUCCUACAGCAGAUCGGCAGGUCUAAACUGAUCCUACAGUAGAUUGGCAGGUCUAAACUGAUCCUACAGUAGAUCGGCAGGUCUAAACUGAUCCUUCAGCAGAUCGGCAGGUCUAAACUGAUCCUUCAGCAGAUCGGCAGGUCUAAACUGAUCCUACAGCAGAUCGGCAGGUCUAAACUGAUCCUACAGCAGAUCGGCAGGUCGAAACUGAUCCUACAGCAGAUCAGCAGGUCUAAACUGAUCCUACAGCAGGUCUAAACUGAUCCUACAGCAGAUCAGCAGGUCUAAACUGAUCCUACAGUAGAUCAGCAGGUCUAAACUGAUCCUACAGUAGAUCAGCAGGUCUAAACUGAUCCUACAGUAGAUCAGCAGGUCUAAACUGAUCCUACAGCAGAUCGGCAGGUCUAAACUGAUCCUACAGCAGGUCUAAACUGAUCCUACAGCAGGUCUAAACUGAUCCUACAGUAGAUCAGCAGGUCUAAACUGAUCCUACAGCAGGUCUAAACUGAUCCUACAGUAGAUCAGCAGGUCUAAACGGAUCCUACAGUAGAUCAGCAGGUCUAAACUGAUCCUACAGUAGAUCAGCAGGUCUAAACUGAUCCUACAGUAGAUCAGCAGGUCUAAACUGAUCCUACAGUAGAUCAGCAGGUCUAAACUGAUCCUACAGCAGAUCGGCAGGUCUAAACUGAUCCUACAGCAGGUCUAAACUGAUCCUACAGCAGGUCUAAACUGAUCCUACAGUAGAUCAGCAGGUCUAAACUGAUCCUACAGCAGGUCUAAACUGAUCCUACAGUAGAUCAGCAGGUCUAAACUGAUCCUACAGCAGGUCUAAACUGAUCCUACAGUAGAUCAGCAGGUCUAAACUGAUCCUACAGCAGGUCUAAACUGAUCCUACAGUAGAUCAGCAGGUCUAAACUGAUCCUACAGCAGGUCUAAACUGAUCCUACAGUAGAUCAGCAGGUCUAAACUGAUCCUACAGUAGAUCAGCAGGUCUAAACUGAUCCUACAGUAGAUCAGCAGGUCUAAACUGAUCCUACAGUAGAUCAGCAGGUCUAAACUGAUCCUACAGUAGAUCAGCAGGUCUAAACUGAUCCUACAGUAGAUCAGCAGGUCUAAACUGAUCCUACAGCAGAUCGGCAGGUCGACUAUGAGAUGCUUUAUAAAUAGACGGCCCUAGAUUGUCUUUGUAAAUGAACCUUUUAGUGUUUCAUCGAUAUCAGACCUGUGAUGUUUUGUAUCCAGUUCGUGUUUCUGUUUCCUGCUGUGUUAGUCGUCAGUCUGGCAGGGCAGUCUGGCAGGGCAGUCUGGCAGGGCAGCCGUGUCGUUCUCCUGUUUUAGAUGAGUCGGUAGUACGAUACAAUACAACAGUGUUUUGCAUAUCAACAACUUACUUUCCGUAAACUCCCCCCAAACAAAAGCAAAUUCCUCCCGAGAACGAAAGCAGCAUAUUAGGAUAACAUUGAGUUAGGAUUUUUUGUUUGUUUGUUGUAAACAUUAAGUUAUGAGCUGUUUCAAAAAUGAAGUUCUGAUUGAAACUGAAAAUAUGUCAGAUGUGGUGUGUUUGUUGUUUGAUAGUCCAGAUGAAUAUAUUCAGCCUAAAACCUACACAAAUAUAAAUAUUGACCUGAUGAUGAUGAUGAGACUGUUUUUAUAUGAAUGAUGUGCUUUACAUACUGAUUUAGUGCUGCUAAGCUAAAUGUUUAUUUUAUUUGUAAUCAUCACACUGACCUCAAGGGUUGGUCUGAUCUAGUUGGCUUUAGGACGGGUGUUUAUGGGUUGGACAUACAGGGGGUCGGUUUCCCCAGACCCAGGUUAACCUUAUUUCUGGACUGAAAAGCACUUUUAACUUAAAAAAAAAAAAUCUCAACUGAGAAUGUUUUAUUUUCUUUUUAGAAGUGGCUUAACUUUUUGUCUGAGUAAACAGACCCAAACUGUAGCACCCUGUUCAGUCCUGACUUCUAUUUUAGUCAAAUAUUCCCAUUGAAAUCAAUGCAAACUGAUGACUAUCCUCCCUUUUCAAAUAUUCCCAUUGAAAUCAAUGCAAACUGAUGAUGAUCCUCCCUUUUCAAAGAAGACAUGCCCUUGAGGAACAAAUGAUUGAAUAUGUACAUGUACCACGUUGUUGUUGUUGAUGAAUUAGCUGAUUCUUCUAGGCAGUGAGUAAGACCUUUAGAGAUCUCAACGGAAGUUAGUUUAAACUAGGCUGCAAUAAUUUAGUGACAAAAUGAAACGAGUCACCUCACUUGUUGUGGUUUUUAAAAUGUUUUUCCCUGACCUGGGUCAUAUAUAUGGAGCUGUACAGCUUUAAACAUAAUAGUGGAGAACUCCCAGCCAAUAGUAUCAGCCUCUCAGGGUUGAAGGUCACGGAUAUGCAAAUGAGCUGUAUGUUCCUGUUUUGACUUGUGCCUGCGUGCACCCUGUUGUUUCACCAUGCUUCUGUAUUGAUAUAAAUGAAAAAGUAGUAGCACGUCGUUCUCCAUUGUUCUCAAGUUAAUUCUACCGUGUCAUCAAGAGCACAACAACCUGUAUGUACAUAGGUGAUGACAAAACUGUUCCCUCUGAUUAAAAAAAAAAAAAAUUGUAUAUAAAUUGUUUCUAAAUGACUAUUUAACC